CUGCCCAGUGUGAUGUAGUAUGUUGUAAUGUGUUUACUGUAGGUCUAAUAUAACUACAUCUUAAUUUAUUUCUCUUUCCGUUAGAUUCUGGCUGAGUUCUGUCGCUUAUCAAGCAAAAAUCUGAGUUGCAAUCAGAGUUCUUCAAAGAUCUCGACAAAUACACUCCUCGCUUCCUGGAGAAGUUCAAGACCCAGAGGGGGAAAGUGUCGGACAGAAACUUGAAUAUCUGCAACAAGUCACACCUGGGAGUACAGAUGUGACUGGGAGGUGAACAGCAGUCCUCCGUGGCCCUCCCGUCAUCCUUGGAGAUGACAACGCAGACUUCUUCAAGAAUUUGAGGUUCAGGAGCAGCCAAUAUGAUGCAGGUGUGACGGCUGAAGAUGGUAGGUACCUGUUCAGCCUCCUGUGGUAGGAGCACAUUUCCCAGAAGCAGCAGUGACAAAGAAAUGUGGAUGUUUACCACGAAUAUGGUUGGUUGCCCACGUAUUAAACGUUGGUCUUUCUUUAUUGAAGGUGUGAGUUUAGGAUGGCAUGAAGCUUCGACUUGACCCUAUGGAAACACAGCAGAAGCCACCAACGGGUCCUGAUCGGGGCGUGUUGUGAUGCAACUGCAUCGACCUGUUCUCAGGCCCUUCUACAUUCUGUUGUUUACAUUUGCUCUAUUAUUGUUCCAUUCAAAUAUCCCUAUUUGUAAAUAUGAUAAUUCAUAUUCUUUAUUAUUAGCUUUUGCAAUCAUUCAGUGAAUCACAUGAUCAAUGAAUUAAUCAUCGCACUCACUCCUGAGCAUCUUUCACUUGAUUAUCUAAUAAUAUCAGAAUCCAAGUAACCAUUGUGUGUUCUACCAUAGAAAUGCAACGUGAAAUUUGACAUGUAAUUGUGUUUUUUAUGCUGCUCUUGUUAUUAGGACUCUGAUGACCUUCUGGACGUGUCCCACGCCUCCAUUGGGACCCUGACGGUGCUGAAGACAUCGUGGCCUCCUCACUCGCUGCACCUGGAGUCUACAGCUACUGCCAUCGUUUUGGGAGGAACAGUCGUGAUGGGUGACCGUGAUAAUCUUCCCCGUGCCGUGUGGCUACUCUUCGGACUUAUUUACCCCUGAAUUUGGAGUAUCCUCAACGAGUGAGGAACACCUUCUGAAUUUAUUCAUAGAGUGCUUCUCACUUGGACCAAAAACCCUAAAAUACAAUCACUCAAAAAUCUACUGAU